AUUCGGGGAGGUAGUGACAAGAAAUAAUAACUCGGGUAGUUCUACUAUUACGGGAUUAAAAUGAGAACAAUUUAAAAAUCUUAGCGAGGAUCAAAAUGAGGGCAAGUCUGGUGCCAGCAGCCGCGGUAAUUCCAGCUCAUUUAGUGUAUAUUAAAGUUGUUGCAGUUAAAAAGCUCGUAGUCGAUCAUCUAGUGCUGGCUGCUUCGGCUUCGGCUGCGGUACGCGAGUGCUAUCUGCUCGAGAACUUUAUCGGUCUUAACUGGUCGAUGAUGCUGAUCGGGCACUUUCCUGAGAAAAAUUUAGAGUGUUCAAAGCAGGCUAAUGCCUUGAAUAUUACAGCUUGGAAUAAUAGAAUAAGACUGAAGUCUCUUUUGUUGGUUAUGAACUUUAGUAAUGGUUAAUAGGAACAGUCGGGGGUAUUAGUAUUUAAUUGUCAGAGGUGAAAUUCUAUGAUUUAUUAAAGACUAACUUAUGCGAAAGCAUUUGCCAAGGAUGUUUUCAAUUGAUCAAGAACGAAAGUUAGGGGAUCAAAGACGAUCAGAUACCGUCCUAGUCUUAACUAUAAACGAUUCCGACUAUGGAUCAGAAGGGUUUUCCAAUCCCUUUUGGCACAUUAUGAGAAAUCAAAGUCUUUGGGUUCUGGGGGAAGUAUGGACACAAGUCUGAAACUUAAAGGAAUUGACGGAAGGGCACACCAGGUGUGGAGCCUGCGGCUUAGUUUGACCCAACACGGGGAAACUUACUAGGGCAAGACUAAGGUUGGAUUGACAGAUUGAGAGCUCUUUCUUGAUUCUUAGGGUGGUGGUGCAUGGCCGUUCUUAGUUGGUGGAGUGAUUUGUCUGGUUAAUUCCGUUAACGAACGAGACCUCAACCUGCUAAACUAGGAGCCGGAUUAAACAUUCGGUUUCCUUCUUAGAGGGACAAAGUGUUCAAGCACUGGGAAGUGAGGCAAUAACAGGUCUGUGAUGCCCCUAGACGUCCUAGGCCGCACGCGCGCUACAAUGACACGUUCAACGAGUUUCUUCCUGGUCCUGACGGAUUCGGGUAAUCUUCAUAGUACGUGUCGUGCUUUGGGAUAGUCCUUUGCAAUUAUAGGACUUAAACUAGGAAUACCUAGUAUAGGUAAGUCAUCAGCUUGCCUAGAUUAUGUCCCUGCCCUUUGUACACACCGCCCGUCGCUCCUACCGAUUUUGAGUGAUUAGGUGAACCUUCUGGAUCAGAGUAGUCUUCAAGGCUGUUCUGAGAAGUUAAGUAAAUCAUUAUCACUUAGAGGAAGGAGAAGUCGUAACAAGGUUUCCGUAGGUGAACCUGCGGAAG
rnacentral:rRNA from 1 species